rnacentral:rRNA from 1 species
UACAGAGGGUGCGAGCGUUGUUCGGAAUUAUUGGGCGUAAAGAGUGUGUAGGCGGUGUUCUAAGUCUGGUGUGAAAUCUCCCGGCUCAACUGGGAGGGUGCGCUAGAAACUGGAAUGCUAGAGGAUGGGAGAGGUAAGCGGAAUUCCUGGUGUAGCGGUGAAAUGCGUAGAUAUCAGGAGGAACACCUGUGGUGUAGACAGCUUACUGGACCAUUUCUGACGCUGAGACACGAAAGCGUGGGUAGCAAACAGG